AGCACUAUUUACACCAAAAUCUAUAACUAAAAAACAAGAAGAUUAUCCAACGACAAGAACAACAACAGCACCGGAGUUGAAAGAAAAAAGAUUAAAAAAGAAAACUAAAAACCCCUAAAAUCUAACCAAUCCCGGAUUCAUCAAGAAUGUAUCCGCAGAUGGAUUGAAGCAUAUCACAAAGAAAUAAAAGAGAAAAGAAAUGAAGAAAAGAGUGAAUAGAGGAUUAAAUACGAGGCAAAAU
rnacentral:misc_RNA from 1 species